ensembl:lncRNA
GCUAUAUACAGGGGUACUGGUACAGAGUCAAUGUGGAGGCUAUAUACAGGGGGUACCGGUACAGAGUCAAUGUGGAGGAUAUAUACAGGGGGUACCGGUACAGAGUCAAUGUGGAGGAUAUAUACAGGGGGUACCGGUACAGAGUCAAUGUGGAGGCUAUAUACAGGGGGUACCGGUACAGAGUCGAUGUGGAGGCUAUAUACAGGGGGUACCGGUACAGAGUCAAUGUGGAGGCUAUAUACAGGGGGUACCGGUACAGAGUCAAUGUGGAGGCUAUAUACAGGGGUACCGGUACAGAGUCAAUGUGGAGG